GUUGGUGGUUUCCGUGGAUGGUGUGGAGUGUUAGCAACCCGAGAAGAAUUGAUAAGAAAUCCUUCCCUGGGUGUUUUCAGCGGAAGCAUGCGAGGCCUAACAGCCCAAGUGACGGCUCUGCUGCGCUUGCCGGAGGUGACAGUUCCAGCCUGUGCGGAGACGGCGUGAGCUCAGCAUGGGGGCUUCGUGGCAGGCUCGCUGCGGAUCUUCAUAUACAGCUUCGAUUAUGUAACAGAGCAGAAAACCGUAGCAGAGCAGCCGUUCAGUGGUGGAGUUCAGUCUGUUGAAAGAGGCUGCAGGUGAGUUUCCUGAAAGUGAACUUCCCAGGCAUCCACUCUGACGGGUAGACCACGACCCCUGUCA
rnacentral:lncRNA from 1 species